UACGUAGGGUGGCAAGCGUUGUCCGGAAUUUAUUGGGCGUAAAGAGCUCGUAGGCGGUUUGUCGCGUCUGCUGUGAAAACCCGAGGCUCAACCUCGGGCCUGCAGUGGGUACGGGCAGACUAGAGUGCGGUAGGGGAGAUUGGAAUUCCUGGUGUAGCGGUGAAAUGCGCAGAUAUCAGGAGGAACACCGAUGGCGAAGGCAGGUCUCUGGGCAUUAACUGACGCUGAGGAGCGAAAGCAUGGGAGCGAACAGG
rnacentral:rRNA from 1 species